rnacentral:rRNA from 1 species
CCGGAGCUUGCUCCACCGAAAGAAAAAGAGUGGCGAACGGGUGAGUAACACGUGGGUAACCUGCCCAUCAGAAGGGGAUAACACUUGGAAACAGGUGCUAAUACCGUAUAACACUAUUUUCCGCAUGGAAGAAAGUUGAAAGGCGCUUUUGCGUCACUGAUGGAUGGACCCGCGGUGCAUUAGCUAGUUGGUGAGGUAACGGCUCACCAAGGCCACGAUGCAUAGCCGACCUGAGAGGGUGAUCGGCCACACUGGGACUGAGACACGGCCCAGACUCCUACGGGAGGCAGCAGUAGGGAAUCUUCGGCGAUGGACGAAAGUCUGACCGAGCAACGCCGCGUGAGUGAAGAAGGUUUUCGGAUCGUAAAACUCUGUUGUUAGAGAAGAACAAGGAUGAGAGGUAGAACGUUCAUCCCUUGACGGUAUCUAACCAGAAAGCCACGGCUAACUACGUGCCAGCAGCCGCGGUAAUACGUACGUGGCAAGCGUUGUCCGGAUUUAUUGGGGCGUAAAGCGAGCGCAGGCGGUUUCUU